AGCACCGGCUAACUACGUGCCAGCAGCCGCGGUAAUACGUAGGGUGCAAGCGUUAUCCGGAAUUAUUGGGCGUAAAGGGCUCGUAGGCGGUUCGUCGCGUCCGGUGUGAAAGUCCAUCGCUUAACGGUGGAUCUGCGCCGGGUACGGGCGGGCUGGAGUGCGGUAGGGGAGACUGGAAUUCCCGGUGUAACGGUGGAAUGUGUAGAUAUCGGGAAGAACACCAAUGGCGAAGGCAGGUCUCUGGGCCGUCACUGACGCUGAGGAGCGAAAGCGUGGGGAGCGAACAGGAUUAGAUACCCUGGUAGUCCACGCCGUAAACGGUGGAUGCUGGAUGUGGGGCCCGUUCCACGGGUUCCGUGUCGGAGCUAACGCGUUAAGCAUCCCGCCUGGGGAGUACGGCCGCAAGGCUAAAACUCAAAGAAAUUGACGGGGGCCCGCACAAGCGGCGGAGCAUGCGGAUUAAUUCGAUGCAACGCGAAGAACCUUACCUGGGCUUGACAUGUUCCCGACAGCCGUAGAGAUACGGUCUCCCUUCGGGGCGGGUUCACAGGUGGUGCAUGGUCGUCGUCAGCUCGUGUCGUGAGAUGUUGGGUUAAGUCCCGCAACGAGCGCAACCCUCGCCCUGUGUUGCCAGCACGUCGUGGUGGGAACUCACGGGGGACCGCCGGGGUCAACUCGGAGGAAGGUGGGGAUGACGUCAGAUCAUCAUGCCCCUUACGUCCAGGGCUUCACGCAUGCUACAAUGGCCGGUACAACGGGAUGCGACAUGGCGACAUGGAGCGGAUCCCUGAAAACCGGUCUCAGUUCGGAUUGGAGUCUGCAACCCGACUCCAUGAAGGCGGAGUCGCUAGUAAUCGCGGAUCAGCAACGCCGCGGUGAAUGCGUUCCCGGGCCUUGUACACACCGCCCGUCAAGUCAUGAAAGUGGGUAGCACCCGAAGCCGGUGGCCCAACCUUUUGGGGGGAGCCGUCUAAGGUGAGACUCGUGAUUGGGACUAAGUCGUAACAAGGUAGCCGUACCGGAAGGUGCGGCUG
rnacentral:rRNA from 1 species